rnacentral:lncRNA from 1 species
CUGCUUCUGCUCCAGCCACACUCUUCAGGACUGUCAGGGUCUGGGCUGAAGGUGGCUGAGAAGCGGGGACCUACACUCUGAAGCUGGAUGGCCCAGCCCCUCCCCAGCACAAAAACAUUGUGUGAUCCUGUCUGUUGAGAUGCUUUUCUCUGGGCCAGAUUCUCCACAUAAGCAAUGCAGGAUUAGGAUAUGAUGCUUGUUUGCUUGGAGAUCCAGGUGGUAUUUGGAAGUGGCUUGCACAAUCACAUCCCUAUGGGAACUUACCUCCCAUGUGCUUUUGGGAAAGUUUCCCACUCAACUCCAUCCACCCUGAAUAUAAAAUAGAGGUCACAGUGGUUGAUUCACCAGCAUUUUCUAACCAAAGUUUCUUUACGCUGUUUUUAUAUUACCCACAAUCCUAUUACGGCAAUCACACU